rnacentral:rRNA from 1 species
UGGGGAAUAUUGCACAAUGGGGGAAACCCUGAUGCAGCGACGCCGCGUGAACGAAGAAGGUAUUCGUAUCGUAAAGUUCUGUCCUAUGGGAAGAUAAUGACAGUACCAUAGAAGAAAGCUCCGGCUAAAUACGUGCCAGCAGCCGCGGUAAUACGUAUGGAGCGAGCGUUGUCCGGAAUUAUUGGGCGUAAAGGGUACGCAGGCGGUUUCAUAAGUCGAAUGUUAAAGAUCGGGGCUCAACCCCGCAAAGCAUUGGAAACUGAUAAACUUGAGUAGUGGAGAGGAAAGUGGAAUUCCUAGUGUAGUGGUGAAAUACGUAGAUAUUAGGAGGAAUACCAGUAGCGAAGGCGACUUUCUGGACACAAACUGACGCUGAGGUACGAAAGCGUGGGGAGCAAACAGG